GGCGGGGCUGGCGGCGGCGGGCAUCGAGCCGGUGCUGCUGCCGCCGGCGCCGGCGGUCUCCGGUUCGGCUCCGGCGCUGCUU
rnacentral:tRNA from 2 species